UAAUACGAAAGGUGCGAGCGUUAAUCGGAAUUACUGGGCGUAAAGCGCGCGUAGGCGGUUUGUUAAGUCAGAUGUGAAAGCCCCGGGCUCAACCUGGGAAUUGCAUUUGAAACUGGCAGGCUAGAAUGCAGUAGAGAGAGGUGGAAUUUCCGGUGUAGCGGUGAAAUGCGUAGAGAUCGGAAGGAACACCAGUGGCGAAGGCGGCCUCCUGGACUGACAUUGACGCUGAGGUGCGAAAGCGUGGAGAGCAAACAGGAUUAGAUACCCUGGUAGUCCACGCCGUAAACGAUGUCUACUAGUCGUUGGGAAUCUUAGUAUUCUUGGUGACGAAGUUAACGCGAUAAGUAGACCGCCUGGGGAGUACGGCCGCAAGGUUA
rnacentral:rRNA from 1 species